UGUCAAUCAAAGUUAACGACGCUCCACUUCAUGAGACUCGCGGCAGCCUUUAAUGGAUAAGGACAGAGAAGUGGGAAUUGAACCCUGGACACUGCAAUGGGCCUGGCUCUACCAACUAAGCUAUCUGGCACCCUUUUCUUUCAGGUAGGGGAACCUCCAGACGUUUCCCAGGCCUACAGAGAAGCCAACCUGGGCCAGGAUGUACUGGAG